AUUUAAUACGGUUUUCAGUACGCGGAAGCGUUUAAUAGAGAAUGCGGUGUGAAUCCGCAGCAGUCGCGCUGCUGUAAGGUUGACGAAAGCCCAUUUAUGUCACUGGGAAUUUUUUCUUCGGGAAGGCGGGUAAGUAGGAUGAAGCCGAGCCAGAAUAACUGCUGAAAAC
rnacentral:ncRNA from 1 species